rnacentral:lncRNA from 1 species
UUGGAUACGUAAAACUACAGUUGCUUUUUCUUAUAGAAUUUCCAUUCAUUUUUUAAUUGUCAUGGUUUCACCAUUUCUGCCAUAAUGUCUAUUGGCCGACAUGAGAAAAAAAAAUCCGUUUAAAAAUAAAGAAAAAAAGGAAAGAAAAGUUUAAUCAUCGGUUUGUGUUGGCAUAAAGAAAGAUCGAAAACUGAAAAUGAUUAGAAAUGAAGAAAAGAAAUGGGUUUCUUGCUAUCUUAGCCACACAACAAAAUAUUUUUGUGCCCUUUCCCAUCAUGGUAAGUGGAAACCAAGUCUUCAACCUUAAAAGAUACAUAAACAUGUGUAGAAACUAUAAAUCUGGAAAACUUAAACUAUUCCAAUUUUGGUCACUCCCAAUAAUGGAUCUCUUCGCUACCUGCUACGGCCGGUAGGUAAACUAAUUGACACAUAAAAUAAUAGUUUUCAAAUAUUUGUUGAUAAUGUAAAAAAAUCUUGCCUACCCAAUUAAGUUAUGCCACGUAGUGGAUAUGCCACAUAUAUGAUCCUACGUACGAUAUUUUACCCUCCCUUACCAAUGUCACCAUCGUCGAUGUGACACCUUUAUAGAAAACAUAAUCAUUCAUGAAAAUAACACGACAGUAAAAGUCAAUUUGUCUGUGAAUAGCAC